UGCGGAUUAGCACAGUGGUAGUGCAAUCGACUGUUAAUCGAUGGGGUCAUAGGUUCGAAUCCUAUAUCCGUAG
rnacentral:tRNA from 3 species